GAUGUCAUAACCGCUAUAAAUAAUGAAACCGACCCGCACUGGCCGCGUCGGAGAGGAACGAGGGAGAAGAGGCCGGAGGGAGAUUCCGGAGGAGAUGGCUUCGUUCCUCUCGGCGGCCGCCCCCACCCCCGCCAGCGACUUGUUGAUCAAGGAGGUAAUUAUUUGAGGGACAACAUGAUCUUGAUCAAUUGUUUGAGUGGCAUUAGCUGAUCCUUUGAAGGGACGAUCAUGCUGCUGUGGGCAUUGUCCAGGGACAUCGAUUGACGCUAGCGGCACUGGUGCUGCCCCGGGGUUAUGGUGCAACAACAUAGCAUUCAAAUUGUCAUCUAGAUAUUCGUGGUUCAAAUCCUAAUUAUGAUGAAUUUGUAAGAAUUUUUACUCCAAAUAAGACACGCAACUAAA